AUGCAACAGUUUCACUAACUUUUAAAAUUAUAAUUAGAAUAUAAAAACCUCAGAUAGGACUGAGUUCCUACAAUUUCAAUGCAAGAGCAUAUCUGGAUCUCCUGGGAGGUGCUGACGUCUGUGAGCACUGUGAACUCAAGCUGCUGUGUCCUAAGAACAGAAGUUUUCCAUAUUUUGGCAAGAUAAAUUGCAGAAAAUGGCCUGAAAGAAUACCUCAGAAAAGUUCCAUAAAUGUUUGUUAUAUUAAUAAUGAUAAUUAUAAUAGGUUUCACAAAAUAUCCUGAGUUGGAAGGGACCCUCAAGGAUCAUCAGGUUCAACUCCAAUGGCUGUAGAUGGUUCAAACUCACAACCUUGGUGUUAUUGGCACAAGGCUGUAACCAGCUCAGCUAACUGCUGCUCCCCAGUUAUGUCCUACCCUUACUUUGGGGGUAAAUAAUACAUAUGGGAUGUGCUUUGUUCACAACCCUGGUUUGGAGGGUUUUAAUCUAACAAUCUCAACUCAGA